AUUGAACGCUGGCGGCAUGCUUUACACAUGCAAGUCGAACGGUAACAGGCCUUCGGGUGCUGACGAGUGGCGAACGGGUGAGUAAUGCAUCGGAACGUACCCAGAGGUGGGGGAUAACGCAGCGAAAGCUGUGCUAAUACCGCAUGUGAUCUGAGGAUGAAAGCGGGGGACCGAGCAGCAAUGUUUGGCCUCGCGCCUUUGGAGCGGCCGAUGUCGGAUUAGCUAGUUGGUGGGGUAAAGGCCUACCAAGGCGACGAUCCGUAGCUGGUCUGAGAGGACGACCGGCCACACUGGGACUGGGACACGGCCCAGACUCCUACGGGAGGCAGCAGUGGGGAAUUUUGGACAAUGGGCGCGAGCCUGAUCCAGCAAUGCCGCGUGCGGGAAGAAGGCCUUCGGGUUGUAAACCGCUUUUGGCAGGAACGAAACGGUGUCCGCUAAUACCGGGCGCUAAUGACGGUACCUGCAGAAUAAGCACCGGCUAACUACGUG
rnacentral:rRNA from 1 species